GGAGUUAGCCGGUGCUUCUUCUGUGAGUGAUGUCCUUCCUGCCGGUUAUUGACCCGCAGGCCUUCUUCCUCACUGAAAGUGCUUUACAACCCGAAGGCCUUCUUCACACACGCGGCAUGGCUGGAUCAGGGUUGCCCCCAUUGUCCAAUAUUCCCCACUGCUGCCUCCCGUAGGAGUCUGGGCCGUGUCUCAGUCCCAGUGUGGCUGAUCAUCCUCUCAGACCAGCUACGGAUCGUCGCCUUGGUGAGCCGUUACCUCACCAACCAGCUAAUCCGACAUAGGCUCAUCCGAUAGCGCGAGGCCCGAAGGUCCCCCGCUUUCCCCCGUAGGGCGUAUGCGGUAUUAGCCUGGGUUUCCCCCAGGUUAUCCCCCACUACCCGGGCAGAUUCCUAUGCAUUACUCACCCGUCCGCCGCUCGCCACCAGGGAGCAAGCUCCCCGUGCUGCCGCUCGACUUGCAUGUGUUAGGCCUGCCGCCAGCGUUCAAUCUGAGCCAGAAUCAAACUCUGA
rnacentral:rRNA from 1 species